ensembl:lncRNA
CUCAGGGUGAGGAGCGUCCCAUUUCAGCCUCUGGCACCAACUUCUCCUUUGAGACUGGGCAGACGGGGAAGAGAGAUAAGAAAAAAAUGCCAGGGCUCCAGUUGUACACAGAAGCUUUUCUAAAGCAAUUGGAGCCGCAGAGAAAGGUGGUGCUAAUGGUAAAAAACCUGCCUGCCAGUGCAGAGGACAUGAGACCCGGCUUUGAUCCCUGGGUCAGGAAGAUUCCCCUGGAGGGGAAAAUGGCAACCCACCCCAGUAUUCAUGCCUGGAGAAUCCCAUGGACAGAGGAGCCUGGCGGUUAUGGUCCAUGGGGUCACAAAGAGUCAGACACGACUGAAGAGACGACACAUGCAUAUUUGGUUUACAAUGUUAUUUCUGCUGCACAGCAAAGCGAUUCAGUUGUAUGUGUAUAUAUAUAUAUAUAUAUAUAUGUAUAUAUA